AUUCUUGCGAGCACUGGUCAGUGAAUUUUAGAUGUUUGCGAAGUUUUGAGGUUUGGUGUGCUGUUAUUGAGUUAGCACAGCAUACAAACAUAAAAAACAUAUCGUUUCCCUUGGAUACUUUUCGCAGUAGCCAUUACCCAUAACCCUGCGAAUACACCUUCUGCAAAGGGACAACAGUAUACUAAAAGCGAAAGAGGUGUUUCUUCUCCUUCAGUAUUCUCCUACUGUUGAUUGCGGGAUCAGAAUUGGCGAGCAGAUAAGCAAUUCCAAAACAUCCUCCACGUUUCUAGUUUUACUCUGUUUCAUCAACUCAUGCAGUUCCUGAUAGGAAAUUUUAAUUUAUUCCAUAAUUCUUGACUGUCAAAAUUAUAAUUAUAUAUUCUGAUGUAAUAUUCGAACCAUUAAAACACUUAUAUGAAAAACGCAUCAGAAAGCAAUUGAAUGUAGUAAAUGAAGGGAAACCACACAAUAAAAACAAUACAAAUAAGCGCGCAAUAACGGAUUAUUUCACCCACCUACCUAGACGUAAAAACAAAGGGGGAGAGAGAGAGAGCGAAAGAGAGAGAAUAAAAUAGUAAAACAACAGAGAGAGAGAAAGGUACCACCACAAGCUAAAAGAAAACACUAUAUAAAGACGGACACACAUGCGGACUAAUUAGUGACAAAAAA